rnacentral:rRNA from 1 species
AGAAGGCCCGAGGGUUGUAAAGCACUUUNNAUUGUGAGGAAGGUAGUGUAGUUAAUACCUGCAUUGCUUGACGUUAACUUUAGAAGAAGCACCGGCUAACUCUGUGCCAGCAGCCGCGGUAAUACAGAGGGUGCAAGCGUUAUUCGGAAUUACUGGGCGUAAAGCGCGCGUAGGCGGACUAUUAAGUCAGUUGUGAAAGCCCUGGGCUCAACCUAGNAACUGCAUCUGAUACUGGUAGUCUAGAGUUUAGGAGAGGGAAGUGGAAUUCCAGGUGUAGCAGUGAAAUGCGUAGAUAUCUGGAGGAACAUCAGUGGCGAAGGCGACUUUCUGGCCUAAAACUGACGCUGAGGUGCGAAAGCAUGGGUAGCGAACGGGAUUAGAUACCCUGGU